rnacentral:rRNA from 1 species
UACAGAGGGUGCGAGCGUUAAUCGGAAUUACUGGGCGUAAAGCGUGCGUAGAUGGUUAUGUAAGUCGGAUGUGAAAGCCCCGGGCUCAACCUGGGAAUUGCAUUCGAGACUGCAUAGCUAGGAUGCGGAAGAGGGAAGCGGAAUUUCCGGUGUAGCGGUGAAAUGCGUAGAUAUCGGAAGGAACACCAGUGGCGAAAGCGGCUUCCUGGUCCAGCAUCGACGUCAGGCACGAAAAGCGUGGGGGAGCAAACAGG